GAACGCUGGCGGCGUGCUUAACACAUGCAAGUCGAGCGGUAAGGCCCUUCGGGGUACACGAGCGGCGAACGGGUGAGUAACACGUGGGUGAUCUGCCUCGCACUCUGGGAUAAGCCUGGGAAACUGGGUCUAAUACCGGAUAUGAGCCGGGAAUGCAUGUUCCUGGUUGGAAAGGUUUACUGGUGCGAGAUGGGCCCGCGGCCUAUCAGCUUGUUGGUGGGGUAACGGCCCACCAAGGCGACGACGGGUAGCCGGCCUGAGAGGGCGAACGGCCACACUGGGACUGAGACACGGCCCAGACUCCUACGGGAGGCAGCAGUGGGGAAUAUUGCACAAUGGGCGAAAGCCUGAUGCAGCGACGCCGCGUGAGGGACGACGGCCUUCGGGUUGUAAACCUCUUUCGACAGGGACGAAGCGAAAGUGACGGUACCUGUAUAAGAAGCACCGGCCAACUACGUGCCAGCAGCCGCGGUAAUACGUAGGGUGCGAGCGUUGUCCGGAAUUACUGGGCGUAAAGAGCUUGUAGGCGG
rnacentral:rRNA from 1 species